rnacentral:rRNA from 1 species
UACGGAGGGUGCAAGCGUUAUCCGGAAUCAUUGGGUUUAAAGGGUCCGCAGGCGGAUUUAUAAGUCAGUGGUGAAAUCCUAUCGCUUAACGAUAGAACUGCCAUUGAUACUGUAGGUCUUGAAUUCGGUCGAAGUGGGCGGAAUGUGUAGUGUAGCGGUGAAAUGCAUAGAUAUUACACAGAACACCGAUAGCGAAGGCAGCUCACUAGGCCUGGAUUGACGCUCAGGGACGAAAGCGUGGGGAUCAAACAGGAUUAGAUACCCUGGUAGUCCACGCUGUAAACGAUGAUUACUCGUUUUCGGCGAUAUACAGUCGGAGACUAAGCGAAAGUGAUAAGUAAUCCACCUGGGGAGUACGAUCGCAAGGUUGAAACUCAAAGGAAUUGACGGGGGCCCGCACAAGCGGUGGAGCAUGUGGUUUAAUUCGAUGAUACGCGAGGAACCUUACCAGGGCUUGAAAGUUAGUGAAGGAAGUGGAAACAUUUCCGUCAGCAAUGACACGAAACUAGGUGCUGCAUGGCUGUCGUCAGCUCGUGCCGUGAGGUGUUGGGUUAAGUCCCGCAACGAGCGCAACCCCCAUCUUUAGUUGCUAGCAGGUAACGCUGAGGACUCUAAAGAAACUGCCUACGCAAGUAGAGAGGAAGGCGGGGACGACGUCAAGUCAUCACGGCCCUUACGUCCUGGGCCACACACGUGCUACAAUGGUAGGUACAGAGGGCAGCUACCGGGUGACCGGAUGCGAAUCUCUAAAGCCUAUCUCAGUUCGGAUUGGAGUCUGCAACUCGACUCUAUGAAGCUGGAAUCGCUAGUAAUCGCGCAUCAGCCAUGGCGCGGUGAAUACGUUCCCGGGCCU